AUUGAACGCUGGCGGCAGGCCUAACACAUGCAAGUCGAGCGGAUGACGGGAGCUUGCUCCUUGAUUCAGCGGCGGACGGGUGAGUAAUGCCUAGGAAUCUGCCAGGUAGUGGGGGACAACGUUUCGAAAGGAACGCUAAUACCGCAUACGUCCUACGGGAGAAAGCAGGGGACCUUCGGGCCUUGCGCUAUCAGAUGAGCCUAGGUCGGAUUGGCUAGUUGGUGGGGUAAUGGCUCACCAAGGCGACGAUCCGUAACUGGUCUGAAAGGAUGAUCAGUCACACUGGAACUGAGACACGGUCCAGACUCCUACGGGAGGCAGCAGUGGGGAAUAUUGGACAAUGGGCGAAAGCCUGAUCCAGCCAUGCCGCGUGUGUGAAGAAGGUCUUCGGAUUGUAAAGCACUUUAAGUUGGGAGGAAGGGCAGUAAGUUAAUACCUUGCUGUUUUGACGUUACCGACAGAAUAAGCACCGGCUAACUCUGUGCCAGCAGCCGCCGUAAGAC
rnacentral:rRNA from 1 species